rnacentral:rRNA from 1 species
AACGAACGCUGGCGGCAUGCCUAACACAUGCAAGUCGAGCGCCCGUAGCAAUACGGGAGCGGCGCACGGGUGAGUAACGCGUGGGAACCUGCCCAGAGGUUCGGGACAACCGCGGGAAACUGCGGCUGAUACCGGAUGAUACCUGAGGGUCAAAGAUUUAUCGCCUUUGGAGGGGCCCGCGUCGGAUUAGGUAGUUGGUGGGGUAACGGCCUACCAAGCCUGUGAUCCGUAACUGGUCUGAGAGGAUGACCAGUCACACUGGGACUGAGACACGGCCCAGACUCCUACGGGAGGCAGCAGUGGGGAGUAUUGGACAAUGGGGGCAACCCUGAUCCAGCAAUGCCGCGUGGGUGAUGAAGGCCUUCGGGUUGUAAAGCCCUUUCGGCGGGGACGAUGAUGACGGUACCCGCAGAAGAAGCCCCGGCUAACUUCGUGCCAGCCGCCGCCGUAAGAC